AUCCGCGCAUGAUCACAAGUAGUGUAUGUUUCUGUUAUAAAUCAAGAUUAACAUAUCUUUCUAUUAGAAAGCAAGAUUAACCAUGUAACAUUGUUGGUGAAAAUAAAGGUAAGUUAUUAUUUGUUACACACUUUAGCGCCUCACAUUGCAAGCAUGCUUGCACUGAAUUUGAAUUCUAUUUGCAAAGAUAGGUACAUUAUUAUUUUAUGCCGACACAAUGCACUUUAACAACCUUCCACUAACUGGACCCUCUCAAAUGUGAGAAAAAGUGAAAAGGGAAUAAUCAUACGACUAAGUGGAUUAUUUGUUCUACUUAGAGGAAUUAUAGUUUAUAUACUCGGAUGUGUUAGCAUUCACUUCGUGAUUUUUAUAUAUCUUGGAAGUGAUAUUUAUAUUAUGUGGUCUAACAAAUACUCUCAAUAGUGGUUUCUAGAGUAUGGAAUUGUGUAUCAUGUAUGUAAAUAGGUGGCCGAUUCUUGAGAUGUCUAAGAUGACUUGUUGUCGAAAUGUUGUUGUUGCUUCUUUACUGUCUCUUAUUUGUUU
rnacentral:lncRNA from 1 species